ensembl:lncRNA
GAUGAUUGUCAUUUAUUCACUUAAACAGUACACAUAAACACUUAACAGUAUUGCAGAAUAAACACUUAACAGUAUUGCAGAAUAUUUUUAAGAAAGUUAUGAAUUCUGUUAAAAUAUUGUAACAAACUUUUAAAGCAAUAUUUAUUCCUGUAUUCUCAGCAUUUUUUAGAAAUUCGAGUGCACUUUAAAAGUUUCCAAAUGCUAAUUUUUUUUAAAGAACCUUAGAGUAAUUGUAAGAAGUAUCAUUAUCCCCAUUUGAUAAAUGAGGAAACUGAAACACAGAACAGUUAAGUAACUUUCUCAGGGUUGUAGGAUAAUUCUUUGCUAAGCUAGGGAUAGAUUAUUUCUUGGCAUUAAGUGUUCUACGCAUUAUUCCGCUGCUUCUCUGUGUUAAAGAAUGCUGCAGUACUUCUAUGAUACAAUUUAAAAAUGAAACCAAACUACUUGUCUUAUGUUUACAGUUUUCUUGGGGAGGGGGGACCUCUUUGGUUGAUAUUCAUUUGCUGUCCUGACCUUUUGUAAAAAUUGAGAUUUUAAACACACAUACAAAAGAGAGGAAGACUGACUACCAUCCUUGACUUGCCUGGGAUUUCAGUAAAAAACAGAGGGCAGAAUAUGUCUCAAAAUAUUGAGCUGAAAUUCUUAUAAAUGUACUUCAGCCUUCCAAAUCAUGUUUCCUGUAUAUUGGACCAGAACAGAAGGAGCUUUUACCUUAGAGUGGAGUGUUGAUGGUACACUUUGUGGUCUGGCUGGCACCAGUGAAGACUACGGUUAAUCCAGUUUUUGUUUAGAGAAACCACUGCAGAAAAGGAUACCUUCUUCUUUCACACUCCUCCAAGCUAUGGUGAGGUGCAAAGCCUUGAUGUAAUUUGAAGAGAGACUCUCAAUUUACAGGGAAAGUAACUUCAUCCUAAAAUUGCUGCCAAAAUACUGACUCCUGGCUUGCUCCACAAUUUCUGUGAUCCUUAGAUCCCGAGAUCCUAGGAUCCUUAGAUCCUGCGAGUUUAGAGAGAGCCUUUCAAAUCCCUGUUGCCAUUAAACUCCAUCCCACGCUGUGUACUCUCUGUUCUUGGACAGCCUAAGAAAUGUCUUUGUCUGCCAUUUAGUCACUGGCAGCCCUGGAGACAAAUCUGAGCUGCAUUUACGUUAUAAUCCUUCCUAAAUGCUUUUACUGUUCUCUUGUCAAUGUUAGCCUUAAGGUAGACGUUCUCCAGGGAAAACAAAGAUACAAUCUGCCCUAGCAGUGGAGACCAUAUUAUUACUUCUGGUGGGUGAAAGUAACACUAUGUGUAUAUAUUUCCAGGCUUACUUGUCAGCUUUGGUCUUUCCUAGCAGAACAGACCUAAAUGUUGAACAAUGAAAUGAAUAGACAGUGUCUUUUCAGAUUUUCAUUCUCUUUUAGAUGGGAGAUAUUUCUAUUGUCACCAUCUCUUUACUAGAGAGAUCAUGUCAUGUUUAUUUGCCAAGUAAUGGGAUGCACUGGGUAUUUUCAGUGUGAUUCCUGUAGCAUUUUUUUAGUAGGUGCUUCAUAGUUCCACAUUUUAAGAACUGGAGGUGCAUUAAGGAGAACCAAAAGGUCAUCUGUAUUUGUCAGCUGCAGAAGCUAUAUCCUCUUAGGCACGGAGAGGGAAGGAUUGUACCCUGCACUUAACACGGAGAAACAUGAAGUAACUUUUGUCACUGUCUCAAGAUCUUGGAACCAGUCACAUGAAUAAAGCUGAAGUGGU